AACAUGCACAAGGGAUGCCUGAAUAUGCACGAGCUCUAGCUAUUAAGCUAGGAUGCUAGCAGAUCAGGCUGUGAUAGUCCCUUCGAACCUGAUCAAGGUGAUGCCUGCGCAGAGAGCCUGCAUUUUCCAUGCU
rnacentral:ncRNA from 1 species